rnacentral:rRNA from 1 species
AUACAUGAGCAAAAUCUCAACUUUAUUAGAAGAGACGCAUUUAUUAGAUAAAAAGCCAGUUCAUGCUUUUAUAGUAUGAAAAUUGGUGAUUUAUAAUAACUUAGCAAAUCGCAAAGUGAAAACAGGCGAUAAAUCAUUCAAGUUUCUGACCUAUCAGCUUUCGACGGUAUGGUAUUGGCUUACCGUGGCAGUGACGGUUAACGGGGGAUUAGGGUUCGAUUCCGGAGAGGGAGCCUGAGAAACGGCUACCACAUCUAAGGAAGGCAGCAGGCGCGCAAAUUACCCAAUUCUAACAGUUUGAGAGAGGUAGUAACAAGAAAUAACAAUACAAGGCAGUUAAAAUGCUUUGUAAUUGGAAUGAUAGAAAUUUAAACCCUUUUUAAAGUAUCAAUUGGAGGGCAAGUCUGGUGCCAGCAGCCGCGGUAAUUCCAGCUCCAAUAGCGUAUAUUAAAAUUGUUGCAGUUAAAAAGCUCGUAGUUGAAGUUCUGCUGAAAGUAACCGGUCUGCUUUUAAUAAAAGUGGUAUCUUGGUAUGUAUUUAGCAAUGAUGUCCUUUGAAGUGUUUUUUACUUUAUUGUAAUAAAGCAUAUUCAGGACUUUUACUUUGAGAAAAUUAGAGUGUUUCUAGCAGGCUAACGCUUUGAAUACUGCAGCAUGAAAUAAUAAG